rnacentral:rRNA from 1 species
UACGUAGGGGGCAAGCGUUGUCCGGAAUCAUUGGGCGUAAAGAGCGUGUAGGCGGCUCGGUAAGUCCGCUGUGAAAGUCCAGGGCUCAACCCUGGAAUGCCGGUGGAAACUGCCAAGCUAGAGUCCGGAAGAGGCGAGUGGAAUUCCUGGUGUAGCGGUGAAAUGCGCAGAUAUCUGGAGGAACACCGGUGGCGAAGGCGACAUCCUGGACCGGUAUUGACGCUGAGGCGCGAAAGCCAGGGGAGCAAACGGG